rnacentral:rRNA from 1 species
UAACCUUGAUGGCGACCGGCGCACGGGUGAGUAACGCGUAUGCAACCUGCCCGAUACCGGGGUAUAGCCCAUGGAAACGUGGAUUAACACCCCAUAGUACUUUUAUCCUGCCUGGGAUGGGAGUUAAAUGUUCAAGGUAUCGGAUGGGCAUGCGUCCUAUUAGUUAGUUGGCGGGGUAACAGCCCACCAAGACGACGAUAGGUAGGGGUUCUGAGAGGAAGGUCCCCCACAUUGGAACUGAGACACGGUCCAA